rnacentral:lncRNA from 11 species
GGCAAUUCAAGCGGCAUCAAACCGCAUCUACGCUGGAGUGUAGAGGCACCUAUUGCUGCCGGCAGGCCCAAGCGAAGACACGCCCGCCGCCGACAGAGGAGGGGAGAAGAAGGCGGAGCGCCGGCCGAGCAGCAGCCCCAGGAGGAAGAAGCAGCUCUGUCGAAGGGGAUCGAAGCGCAGAGAAGGAGCUGUUUCCGACCCUGGGACUGUGGGCCAUGAACCUCGUAGCGGAGCGGCGGCGGCAGAAGCGGAGGCCCGGGGAAUUCUGUUGGCUGGAGCCCGAGCGGAAACAGCUAUGUAGAAGUUCAGAGAAAGUUAUCUGCACUUCCCACCCACCAAGCAAGUGUGCUGAAGAUUAUGACAGUAUGGAGCUGGAUCUGAAGCAGAACAAUCCUAUGGAAUUUUUCAACCCUCAGAAUAUGAAAGAAAAGCCAACUUUAAUGAUAUUUCCGGAUAAUGAAACCAGAACUCCUGUUCAACCCUGUCCAAGAUGUAUUGCUGGAGAACCUGGUCACUUCAGCCACAUUAUGAAUUUAUAGAAGAUCAGAGAACUCUGAUGCACUGAUGGACCAUUGCACAAUGUAUAUGAAGUAUUUUGAGCUGUGAGAGUUUUUUACACUCCUUUUAAAUUGUAUGAAUGUAGUUUUUAGUGUAUAUGAGAUAUGAUUUGGGGGGGGCAUGGAAGAAACUCAUGCUUUUUUGACCUUUUAAUGUCCUAAUGUUUUUUUUUUCAUGUCCUAUAUUUUUACUUCAACAAACAGUUCACCUUAUUAGUUUCUUCCAACACAUGCACAUGAAUACUGGAGGCAUAAUCUAAUGAAUAUGGUUUAAGUCAGACAUGGACAAACUUUUGUCCUUCAGGUGUUUUGGACUACAACUCCCACAAUUCCUAACAGCUGGUCUACACUGCCAUUUAAUCCAGUUCAAAGCAGAUGAUCUGGAUUUUAUAUGGCAGCAUAGAAGGGGCCUUAGACCUUUCCACACUGCCUCUAUAUCUCAGGAUCUGAUCCCAGAUUAUCUGCUUAUCCCAGAUUAUCUGGUAGUGGAGACUCAUGUAAUCCAGUUUAAAGCAGAUAAUCUGCAAUCAGAUCCUGGUAUAUAAGGUAGCGUAGAAGGGGCCUCAGACACAUCUAGAAUCGACAUUACUUGCACUGUUUUUUCUGACUUGACCAUGGGGUGCUUUGCCUUAAUGAAAUUUCUGCAAAGUCCAGUUGACUUACAUGAUGUCCAGAGGCUGUAAUCUAUAGAAGUUAGAGUUCUGCAUAUUUAUCCAUAAAUGAUAAAUAUAGCUGUAUUCAUUUAGCACAUUGCAUCUCAAUUCUCUACAUGCCCAUCAUUGUGAAAGACCUUACUGCAUUAUUAGCAAUCACUCUAAUGCUGCAUCAGGGGAAAAUACACUAUCUGUCUGAGAACAUUUCAUCAUCACUAUUAUAAUUAUUGUAAAACACAUUAUUUAACUCUUUUAAAAAAAAUAGGCAUAAUAGUCAUCAUAUAUCAUACUCUUUUCUUUUUUAUAAUUCAUAUUUCAUGAUAUACAAGAUUCACAAACUGACAAGUUUGUAGAGCACAUGGCCACAUGGGGGGCAUUGAAUAGGAAUGGCAGUUCCCCUUCCUGCUGCACCUUAUAGUCUUAAAAGUAGAACCAGCAUGAAAGAACUAAGGCAAGUUGAUUUGCUACUCAGUAGAUAAGGGAAGGCAAGAAAGGAUAGUUCUGACCACAUAAUUAUGGUUUGUUUCCAUUGUCCAAUGGAAUAGUCCCAUUUUCUCAUUCACUCAUAAAUACAAUCUAUCCCUGGGGUGUUUCUGCAUGCAAAGCAAGUGUCCUAUCACUUGAGCUAAGCCAUAUUCCAAAUCUUAAUGAAGCAUGUGUUUUCUAUGCUGCCAAAUGCAGAGACACGUUUCCUGCACUUCAAAAUAGCAUUUUAAAACUCUACAGAACUUCCAAUGCAAAUUUUGGAACAAUGUCUACAGAAAUAUAACUUUACCAUCUCUUCUGAUUCAGUCAUUCUUAUCCUGUACUUGUAGGAAUUAACUGAAGGACAAGGGCUUACACAUGCUAGAUAAUUCACUCCAUGCAUUCUCACCCUUCAGUAGAUUUUACUUUCAAAACUCUUAAUGCAGUUUACAAUGAAGUAUAAAAGACAAGAUACAUUGUGUUCUGUAUCUCCGGAUCUCAUCCCAGAUUAUCUGCUUUGAACUGGAUUAUGUGAGCCUGCAAUCAUCUGGGAUAAGAAUAUAAUCUGGGACCAGAUCCUGGGAUAUAAGGCAGUGUAGAAGGGCCCUUAGAGUAAAUGGUCAAGUACUAUGCAGACUAUAAUAAUAUGCAGAGUUACCUGGGAGUAACAUAAUGAAACACAUGGGAGUUGCCCCUGAGAAAACAUGCAUAGCAUUGCAGUAUUAGCAAGCCAACCAUGCCUCUGACUUCUCAAGCUCAUGGAAGAUUGCAAAUAUAUUGUCAAGCAUGUUUGGAGAAUUCUAGGUCUACACAUCCACACAUUGGCCAUACUUUGGAAUAGGGCUUAUAUAUGCAGAGUCCAGUGUAUACGGGGUCCGUCUGAAGAGUCAUUACCUUUCAAAACAGAGGAGGUAGAGAAGUCCAUAGGUGUCAGUUAUUAUACUGUACAUUAAAAUGGACAACAAUCAGAUGUUAGGGAGCUACACUGGAUCUCCAGGAGGUCUUGGAGGGCUAUGUCUCUUUGUAAAAAAAAAAUCAUUUCCAGUCCACUUUGCUAUUAUAUAUGUAGGUCUUUCCUGGUCUUAAAUGGCCAGAGGCCCACAUUUCCUCAUCACCACCCCAAAAGGCAUUUAAGGGUCAUUUUAAUAUGUUUUUUAAAAAAAUAAUAGGGGUCCUAUACCCACAUUGGACCAAUAGUGUACCUUGCCCACCCCUUCUGUAUGCUCAUAACCCUCCUUCCAUUACAUUCACAUAGUGGAGUGAGUGGGUACAUGGCAGUGCCUAGUAGAGCUUGAUUCUAUCCCGACUCCUUACUGUUCAUAUCAAAAGCUUUGUAGAGACUGAAAUCAUAGUCCUUAUUGUAAUUUUUUUAAAGAUUGCCUCUUAUAAAACAAAAGGGAAGGCAUCAUAAGCAGAGCCGGCCCUAGGUAUUUUUCAAGUGUAGGCAAACAGAAUUUUGCCCCCACCCCCACCCCCAAGUCAAUCACUGAAAAAUAAAAGCAUUGGGUAAGCAAAAAUGUUUGAUAAUAAGGAGGGAUUAAAAAAAAGCCUAUUAAACAUCAAAUUACAUUAAGAUUUUACAAAUUAAGCACUAAAACAUCAUGUUUUACAACAAAUCAACAGAAAAAGCAGUUCAAUACCUUGCGGAGGCAGGCGGCAGGAGACAGGAGUUUCCUCGAUGGCGCCCCCAACUACAUGGCGCCACAGGCAACUGCCUAGUUGGCCUGGUGGUUGAACCGCCUCUGAUCAUAAGUUUUUAAGUAGUCUCAAUAAACUUUGGCUUUGACUCUGUUCUGUGUAGGAUGCAUUGUAGCCCCAGAUUAACCUUGAAUUGAAAAUUAAAGAGUGUGUGUAAGCCAUUCUAUCCCCAUCCCUGUUCUCUCCUGACUACAUCAAAGGUGAGGAGAUCUGCAUAAAGGGUGUGCACUGUGAUGUCCACUCACACAAGGCCUCCUACCCAAUGGGGAAAAUGUGAGGAGAUCUGCAUAAAUGGUGUGCACUGUGAUGUCUACUCAGACAAGGUCUCCUCACCCAAUGGAGAAAGGAAUUUUCUCGGUCCCAAAUGUAGCAUUUUUCACAAGGCUGGAUGGGCCAUUGAGCAGGGGAAUAAAUAGCAUUGGAAGUCCACUUCUGCCUGCCCUGUUGUUGAUCCAGCCCAAUGGGUUUUCCUCAAGCCGUCAACAUAGUAUGCUGAUUCUAAGCAAUACUGGACAAACCUAGUAAGUCUCUAGUUCUAUUUUUGGAAACUUAUGUAUUGUUUUAGAAUCUUGUGCAACAGCAACCUUGGAAUAUGUAUGUAUAUGUAGCCCAAUAUCUGGUAUGAAAUUAUGAUCUUACAUUAGAAGAUUGUUUAUUUUUUAAAAUGCCUUACAAAUGUGCAAUAUAGCACUUUAUUUUUUAUAUCCUGAAAUCAGAUAGUGUCAUGAUCACAGAAAAAUGUCAUCAGUAUUGUUUUUUUAACUUUGAAAUUAUUUUUGUAAACAAAUAUAGAUACUAAUCUUUUUGAAUAAAAACCUAGUACUAUUGCUUUCAUAUUUUUAAAUAAGAUAAAUGUUAUUGCUUUGAAUUUAAAUGGUACAAUUGAGUUUAAAUCUUUGUAUUAGGUAAAUUGUCACAUAUAAAGUGAAGCAUCAAGUAACACCUUGGCCAGUCUAAUCAUAUAACAUUUUUUACAUUUCUGCUGCUUUUCUUCUUUUCCCUUUUUAUAUGCAAAGUCAGUGUAUAACACAAUUGAAAUUAACCCUCCUGUGAAAUAUGCCUUUUUUUGGUAAAGUACUGUUUUCUGUCCUACUACUAAAAAUCAAACCUGUGCACAUUGCAGAAGAUUUUGCUCAUGCCCAAUUCCAUCAUUUUGAAUAUAAAUAAAUAUUAUGCACUACAAUUUU